GCCUGGGUAGCUCAGUCGGUUAAGCAUCCGACUUCGGCUCAGGUCAUGAUCUCGCAGUUCGUGGGUUCGAGCCCUGCAUCAGGCU
rnacentral:tRNA from 1 species